UGCCUUUCGCAGCGGCAGUAUCAUAGCCUAUGAGGUUGAUCCGAGGCGCGAUUAUUGUUAGUUGAAAAGUUUACUUGUAUAUACAGUAAAUGUAUAUAUUGGUUUACAUCC
rnacentral:snRNA from 1 species